AUAGCCUCUGUAAUGGCGAGUGCAGCGGCCCCGCUCAAAUUUGAAAUCUGGCCCUAGGCCCGAGUUGUAAUUUGCAGAGGAUGCUUUUGGCAAGGUGCCUUCCGAGUUCCCUGGAACGGGACGCCAUAGAGGGUGAGAGCCCCGUCUGGUCGGACACCGAGCCUCUGUAAAGCUCCUUCGACGAGUCGAGUAGUUUGGGAAUGCUGCUCAAAAUGGGAGGUAUAUGUCUUCUAAAGCUAAAUACCGGCCAGAGACCGAUAGCGCACAAGUAGAGUGAUCGAAAGAUGAAAAGCACUUUGAAAAGAGAGUUAAAUAGCACGUGAAAUUGUUGAAAGGGAAGCGUUUAUGACCAGACUUGGCCCGGUUGAUCAUCCACCCUUCUGGGUGGUGCACUCUGCCGGUCCAGGCCAGCAUCAGUUCGCUCCGGGGGAUAAAGGUUUCGGGAAUGUAGCUCCUCCGGGAGUGUUAUAGCCCGUUGCGUAAUACCCUGGGGUGGACUGAGGUCCGCGCUCUGCAAGGAUGCUGGCGUAAUGGUCAUCAACGACCCGUCUUGAAACACGGACCAAGGAGUCGUCUUCGUAUGCGAGUGUUCGGGUGUAAAACCCCUACGCGUAAUGAAAGUGAACGCAGGUGAGAGCUUCGGCGCAUCAUCGACCGAUCCUGAUGUUCUCGGAUGGAUUUGAGUAAGAGCAUACGGGGCCGGACCCGAAAGAAGGUGAACUAUGCCUGUAUAGGGUGAAGCCAGAGGAAACUCUGGUGGAGGCUCGCAGCGGUUCUGACGUGCAAAUCGAUCGUCAAAUAUGGGCAUGGGGGCGAAAGACUAAU
rnacentral:rRNA from 1 species